AUGCGCGCGUUCUUUUGGGCAGGAAAAGAUCGAGUCAACGGAGGUCAAUGUUUAGUGGCAUGGAGCUCGAUCUGCAAGCCGACUUGCUUCGGAGGUCUAGGGGUGAAAAACCUGAGUCUGCAAGCGUUGGCACUCAGGGUACGAUGGGAAUGGCUGCGGCGUACGGAUGCACAAAGGCCGUGGCAUGGGGCUGGAGCUAAUGGUGGAUGA
rnacentral:rRNA from 1 species